rnacentral:rRNA from 1 species
GACGGAGGGUGCGAGCGUUGUUCGGAUUGACUGGGCGUAAGGGCGUGUAGGCGGUCGGCCAAGUCUGGUGUGAAAGCCCGGGGCUCAGCUCCGGAAGUGCGCCGGAAACUAGGCUGGCUGGAGCGGCGGUAGAGGAGGGUGGAAUUCCGUGGUGUAGCGGUGAAAUGCGUAGAUAUCAGGAGGAACACCGGCGGCGAAGGCGGCCCUCUGGACCGUUGCUGACGCUGGAGACGGCGAAAGCGUGGGGAGCAAACAGG